UACGAAGGGUCCUAGCGUUGUUCGGAAUUACUGGGCGUAAAGCGCAGGUAGGUGGCUUUUCAAGUCGGGUGUGAAAUCCCACGGCUUAACCGUGGAACUGCAUUCGAUACUGUUAAGCUUGAAUAUGGGAGGGGAUGGUAGAAUUCCUGGUGUAGUGGUGAAAUACGUAGAUAUCAGGAGGAACAUCUGUGGCGAAGGCGGCCAUCUGGCCCAAUAUUGACACUGAGCUGCGAAAGCAUGGGGAUCAAACAGG
rnacentral:rRNA from 1 species